UUCUUAGGACGGGUACGUCGGGUUUCAUC
rnacentral:piRNA from 1 species